CCUACGGGAGGCUGCAGUGGGGAAUAUUGCACAAUGGGGGAAACCCUGAUGCAGUGACGCCGCGUGAGUGAAGAAGUAAUUCGUUACGUAAAGCUCUAUCAGCAGGGAAGAAACACUGACCUUACGGUCAGCAGACGGUACCUGGUAAAGAAGCACCGGCUAACGACGUGCCACCAGCCGCGGUAAUACGUAGGGGGCAAGCGUUAUCCGGAUUUACGGGGUGUAAAGGGAGCGUAGCCGGUGCGCCAAGUCUGGAGUGAAAGGCCGCAGCUUAACUGCGGAACUGCUUUUGAAACUGGCGAACUAGAGUGCGGGAGGGGUAAGCGGAAUUCCUAGUGUAGCGGUGAAAUGCGUAGAUAUUAGGAGGAACACCAGUGGCGAAGGCGGCUUACUGGACCGUAACUGACGUUGAGGCUCGAAAGCGUGGGGAGCAAACAGGAUUAGAUACCCUUGUAGUC
rnacentral:rRNA from 1 species